rnacentral:rRNA from 1 species
CCUACGGGAGGCUGCAGUGAGGAAUAUUGGUCAAUGGACGAGAGUCUGAACCAGCCAAGUAGCGUGAAGGAUGACUGCCCUACGGGUUGUAAACUUCUUUUAUAUGGGAAUAAACUGUUCCACGUGUGGGAUUUUGUAUGUACCAUAUGAAUAAGGAUCGGCUAACUCCGUGCCAGCAGCCGCGGUAAUACGGAGGAUCCGAGCGUUAUCCGGAUUUAUUGGGUUUAAAGGGAGCGUAGGUGGAUUGUUAAGUCAGUUGUGAAAGUUUGCGGCUCAACCGUAAAAUUGCAGUUGAUACUGGCAGUCUUGAGUACAGUAGAGGUGGGCGGAAUUCGUGGUGUAGCGGUGAAAUGCUUAGAUAUCACGAAGAACUCCGAUUGCGAAGGCAGUUCACUGGACUGCAACUGACACUGAGGCUCGAAAGUGUGGGUAUCAAACAGGAUUAGAUACCCCUGUAGUC